AGAAAAUGAGACUCAAGUUGCUCCAUCCACAAAGCAUCAUCCACCACAAGCCGCCACCCUCCACAACCUCCAUGCAGUACCGUCGUUGUCUCUACACCUCCACACCCACGGCGUUAGACCUCGUUUGCAGCCUAGUUACACGACCUCACCAUCACAAAAGCCCACGCC